AGCUGUUGCAAUUUUCACCUGCUACAAUUGGUAACACACUAUUUACAUGUGAUGCUUGGGUAGAGCAAAUCGAUACUUCAAAUGGUUGGUUUUUUUAUUCUUGCAAUAUAUGCAAAAAAGUCAUGAUUGAAACAGAAAAUGGUGAGCUUGCUUGCUAUGACCAUGGCCAAGGAAUUCCAAAGUUGACGUUAAGACUGCGGAUGAUAAU